CAAGGAACUAAGGGUUUAUGGGGGAUACCUUGGCAUUCAGAAGCGAAGAAGGACGUGGUUACCGACGAUACGCUUCGGGGAGCUGGAAACAAGCUACGAUCCGGAGGUCUCCGAAUGAGGAAACUUUAAUCAAUAACUACUUAUUGAAUUCAUAGAUAAGAAAGAGCGAACCUAGAGAACUGAAACAUCUUAGUAUCUAGAGGAAAAGAAAGUAAAAACGAUUCCCUGAGUAGCGGCGAGCGAAACGGGAACAGCCUAAACUUAAUUCAAAUUAAGGGUAGUGGGACAAUCAAUAACGAUUAAAUGUGACAAUUAGGAGAACAAGUUUGGAAUACUUGGCCAUAGAGAGUGAUAGUCUCGUAUCCGAAAAUUGAAACAAUCCGAUUGGAUCCCAAGUAGCAUGGAGCACGUGUAAUUCCGUGUGAAUCUGCGAGGACCACCUCGUAAGGCUAAAUAUUCCUGAAUGACCGAUAGUGAAAUAGUACCGUGAGGGAAAGGUGAAAAGAACCCCGGGAGGGGAGUGAAAAGAACAUGAAACCAUAAACUUACAAGCAGUAGGAGGACGACUAAAACGUUUGACUGCGUGCCUGUUGAAGAAUGAGCCGGCGACUUAUAGUUAGUGGCAGGUUAAAGUAGAGAAUACUGAAGCCAUAGUGAAAGCGAGCCUGAAUAGGGCGUUUGUCACUAAUUAUAGACCCGAACCCGGAUGAUCUAACCAUGGCCAGGUUGAAGCUUAGGUAAUACUAAGUGGAGGACCGAACCGACUGAUGUUGAAAAAUCAGCGGAUGAGUUGUGGUUAGGGGUGAAAUGCCAAUCGAAUUCGGAGCUAGCUGGUUCUCCCCGAAAUGCGUUUUGGCGCAGCGGUAAAUGUUAUAAUUUAGGGGUAAAGCACUGUUACGUAUGCGGGCUGGUAAUUCGGUACCAAAUCGUUGCAAACUAAGAAUACUAAAUG
rnacentral:rRNA from 1 species